ACGAACGCUGGCGGCGUGCCUAAUACAUGCAAGUCGAACGCACUCUCGUUUAGAUUGACGGAGUUUGCUCCUGAUUGAUAAACAUUUGAGUGAGUGGCGGACGGGUGAGUAACACGUGGGUAACCUGCCCUAAAGUGGGGGAUAACAUUUGGAAACAGAUGCUAAUACCGCAUAAAACCUAACACCGCAUGGUGUAGGGUUGAAAGAUGGUUUCGGCUAUCACUUUAGGAUGGACCCGCGGUGCAUUAGUUAGUUGGUGAGGUAAAGGCUCACCAAGACCGUGAUGCAUAGCCGACCUGAGAGGGUAAUCGGCCACACUGGGACUGAGACACGGCCCAGACUCCUACGGGAGGCAGCAGUAGGGAAUCUUCCACAAUGGACGAAAGUCUGAUGGAGCAACGCCGCGUGAGUGAAGAAGGUUUUCGGAUCGUAAAACUCUGUUGUUGGAGAAGAAUGUAUCUGAUAGUAACUGAUCAGGUAGUGACGGUAUCCAACCAGAAAGCCACGGCUAACUACGUG
rnacentral:rRNA from 1 species